UACAGAGGCCCCAAGCGUUGUUCGGAUUUACUGGGCGUAAAGGGUGCGCAGGCGGCGGGGCAAGUCAGGUGUGAAAGCCCUGUGCUUAACGCAGGGAUCGCAAAUGAUACUGCCUUGCUAGAGUCUCUUAUAGGAAACUGGAAUUCACGGAGUAGCAGUGAAAUGCGUGGAUAUCGUGAGGAACACCAAUGGCGAAAGCAAGUUUCUGGCGGAGUUCUGACGCUAAGGCACGAAGGCCAAGGUAGCAAACGGG
rnacentral:rRNA from 1 species